rnacentral:rRNA from 1 species
GAUGAACGCUGGCGGCGUGCCUAACACAUGCAAGUCGAACGGGGUUAAGUGAUAUCUUCGGAUGGACCUUAACUUAGUGGCGGACGGGUGAGUAACGCGUGGAUAACCUGCCUCACACUGGGGGAUAGCAGCUGGAAACGGGUGGUAAUACCGCAUAAGACCACGAUGCCGCAUGGCACCGGGGUAAAAGAUUUAUCGGUGUGUGAUGGAUCCGCGUCUGAUUAGCCAGGUGGCGGGGUAACGGCCCACCAAAGCGACGAUAAGUAGCCGGGCUGAGAGGGUGAACGGCCACAUUGGGACUGAGACACGGCCAAAACUCCUACGGGAGGCAGCAGUGGGGAAUAUUGCACAAUGGGCGCAAGCCUGAUGCAGCAACGCCGCGUGAGUGAAGAAGUAUUUCGGUAUGUAAAGCUCUAUCAGCAGGGAAGAAAGGCCCGAAAGGGAGAUGACGGUACCUGACUAAGAAGCCCCGGCUAACUACGUGCCAGCCGCCGCGGUAAAAC